AGCGAACGCUGGCGGCAGGCCUAACACAUGCAAGUCGAACGAACUCUUCGGAGUUAGUGGCGGACGGGUGGGUAACACGUGGGAACGUGCCUUUUGGUUCGGAAUAACUCAGGGAAACUUGUGCUAAUACCGAAUGUGCCCUUCGGGGGAAAGAUUUAUCGCCAUUAGAGCGGCCCGCGUCUGAUUAGCUAGUUGGUGAGGUAACGGCGCACCAAGGCGACGAUCAGUAGCUGGUCUGAGAGGAUGACCAGCCACACUGGGACUGAGACACGGCCCAGACUCCUACGGGAGGCAGCAGUGGGGAAUCUUGCGCAAUGGGCGAAAGCCUGACGCAGCCAUGCCGCGUGAAUGAUGAAGGUCUUAGGAUUGUAAAAUUCUUUCACCGGGGACGAUAAUGACGGUACCCGGAGAAGAAGCCCCGGCUAACUUUGUG
rnacentral:rRNA from 1 species